GCCCUCGUAACUCAUUGGUAGAGUGCUGGUUUGAAAAGCCAGAUGAGUUGGUUUAAUUCCAACCGAGGGCA
rnacentral:tRNA from 1 species